GGGGAUUUAGCUCAGUGGUAGAGCGCUUGCCUAGCAAGUGCAAACCCCUGGGUUCGGUCCCCAGCUCCG
rnacentral:tRNA from 1 species